CUCCGUUGGUGAACCAGCGGAGGGAUCAUUACCGAGUUUACAACUCCCAAACCCCUGUGAACAUACCUUACUGUUGCCUCGGCGGAUCAGCCCGCUCCCGGUAAAACGGGACGGCCCGCCAGAGGACCCCUAAACUCUGUUUCUAUAUGUAACUUCUGAGUAAAACCAUAAAUAAAUCAAAACUUUCAACAACGGAUCUCUUGGUUCUGGCAUCGAUGAAGAACGCAGCAAAAUGCGAUAAGUAAUGUGAAUUGCAGAAUUCAGUGAAUCAUCGAAUCUUUGAACGCACAUUGCGCCCGCCAGUAUUCUGGCGGGCAUGCCUGUUCGAGCGUCAUUUCAACCCUCAAGCCCUCGGGUUUGGUGUUGGGGAUCGGCGAGCCUUUCUGGCAAGCCGGCCCCGAAAUCUAGUGGCGGUCUCGCUGCAGCCUCCAUUGCGUAGUAGUAAAACCCUCGCAACUGGAACGCGGCGCGGCCAAGCCGUUAAACCCCCAACUUCUGAAUGUUGACCUCGGAUCAGGUAGGAAUACCCG
rnacentral:rRNA from 1 species